GCUAACGUAGCUUAAUUAAAGCAUGACACUGAAGAUGUCAAGAUGAGCCCUAAAAAGCUCUGUGGGCA
rnacentral:tRNA from 1 species